GCUGUCAAAGUAGCUCAGUUGGGUGAGCGUUAAACUGACGAUCUAAAGGUUCCUGGUUCAAUCCCAGACUUUAGCA